rnacentral:rRNA from 1 species
GACGAACGCUGGCGGCGUGCCUAAUACAUGCAAGUAGAACGCACAGUUUAUACCGUAGCUUGCUACACCAUAAACUGUGAGUUGCGAACGGGUGAGUAACGCGUAGGUAACCUGCCUGGUAGCGGGGGAUAACUAUUGGAAACGAUAGCUAAUACCGCAUAAUAUUGAUUAUUGCAUGAUAAUUGAUUGAAAGAUGCUAUUGCAUCACUACCAGAUGGACCUGCGUUGUAUUAGCUAGUAGGUGAGGUAACGGCUCACCUAGGCGACGAUACAUAGCCGACCUGAGAGGGUGAUCGGCCACACUGGGACUGAGACACGGCCCAGACUCCUACGGGAGGCAGCAGUAGGGAAUCUUCGGCAAUGGACGAAAGUCUGACCGGGCAACGCCGCGUGAGUGAAGAAGGUUUUCGGAUCGUAAAGCUCUGUUGUAAGAGAAGAACGGGUGUGAGAGUGGAAAGUUCACACUGUGACGGUAUCUUACCAGAAAGGGACGGCUAACUACGUG